CCUACGGGAGGCAGCAGUGAGGAAUAUUGGUCAAUGGACGGAAGUCUGAACCAGCCAUGCCGCGUGCAGGAAGACGGCCCUAUGAGUUGUAAACUGCUUCUGUACAAGGGUAAACCUUAAUUCGUGUAUUCUGCUGAAUGUACUUUACGAAUAAGGAUCGGCUAACUCCGUGCCAGCAGCCGCGGUAAUACGGGGGAGCCAAGCGUUAUCCGGAUUUGUGGGGUUUAGAGGGUGCGUAGGCGGAUUGAUAAGUUAGAGGUGAUAUGUCCGAGAUUAACUUGGGAACUGCCUUUAAUACUGUGGAUCUAGAGAGUAGGUGCGGGAGGCGGAAUGUAUGGUGUAGCGGUG
rnacentral:rRNA from 1 species